rnacentral:rRNA from 1 species
UACAGAGGUCCCAAGCGUUGUUCGGAUUCACUGGGCGUAAAGGGUGCGUAGGUGGUGAAGUAAGUCGGAUGUGAAAUCUCCAAGCUCAACUUGGAAACUGCAUUGGAAACUACUUCGCUAGAGGAUUUGAGGGGGGAUUGGAAUACUUGGUGUAGCAGUGAAAUGCGUAGAUAUCAAGUGGAACACCAGUGGCGAAGGCGGGUCUCUGGGCCGAUACUGACGCUGAGGAGCGAAAGCGUGGGUAGCAAACAGG